GAUGAACGCUAGCGGCAGGCUUAAUACAUGCAAGUCGUACGGGAUCCGAGGUAGUAAUACUUUGGUGAGAGUGGCGCACGGGUGCGUAACACGUAUGCAACCUACCUUUAACCGGGACACAACCUUGAGAAAUUGAGGCUAAUAUCCCAUAACACUGCGAGAUGGCAUCAUUUUGCAGUUAAAACUCCGGUGGUUAUAGAUGGGCAUGCGCGACAUUAGCUAGUUGGUGAGGUAACGGCCCACCAAGGCUACGAUGUCUAGGGGUUCUGAGAGGAUUAUCCCCCACACUGGUACUGAGACACGGACCAGACUCCUACGGGAGGCAGCAGUAAGGAAUAUUGGUCAAUGGGCGCAAGCCUGAACCAGCCAUGCCGCGUGAAGGAUGACGGCCCUAUGGGUUGUAAACUUCUUUUAUACGGGAAAAACCUCUGGUCGUGUACCAGAGCUGAUGGUACCGUAAGAAUAAGCAUCGGCUAACUCCGUGCCAGCAGCCGCGGUAAAGUA
rnacentral:rRNA from 1 species